rnacentral:lncRNA from 1 species
GUUCUUGAAUUUUAAUUUUGCUCGGACCCCGUUAAUCACCGCUUGCGUUUAUAUUUGUUAUUAUUUUUGUUAAAUGUUAGUUUCACCUUGUUACUAAUUAAUUGACUAAAGUGUGUUUGUACAGUGCUACCUUAUAUAUAGUAAAAUGACAAAGGACUUAAUGCAGUGGUGUAACAGUAUGGAUGAACUGUAUGUUUGAAAACAGCCUGCAGGUCUAGAGACAUCCAUCCCUCCAGCUCCCUCCAGUGAAACACAGCCUGCAGGUCUAGAGACAUCCAUCCCUCCAGCUCCCUCCAGUGAAACACAGCCUGCAGGUCUAGAGACAUCCAUCCCUCCAGCUCCCUCCAGUGAAACACAGCCUGCAGGUCUAGAGACAUCCAUCCCUCCAGCUCCCUCCAGUGAAACACAGCCUGCAGGUCUAGAGACAUCCAUCCCUCCAGCUCCCUCCAGUGAAACACAGCCUGCAGGUCUAGAGACAUCCAUCCCUCCAGCUCCCUCCAGUGAAACACAGCCUGCAGGUCUAGAGACAUCCAUCCCUCCAGCUCCCUCCAGUGAAACACAGCCUGCAGGUCUAGAGACAUCCAUCCCUCCAGCUCCCUCCAGUGAAACACAGCCUGCUGAAGAAACUACACCACUAAUGUCCAGUGAAUCUCCUGCACCCACCGGGGACCAACAAGAACACACUUCAAGAACAACUACCCCUGAUGUAACUAUGGAUGGUCAUGAUGAUGACCAGAGUCUGGAUGCCCUCGCCUACCGGUCUGGUACUGGACAGCUAGACAUUGAGAUGGGUCCAGUCCAAACACUGCCCAAAGAUCGUAACAGGAUUCUUUAAUAUCGCUGUUCGACCCAAGUUUCCCAUCGACCGUGAUUCACUAUUGAAGGGGAAUGACAUUACAGGAUACAAAGUAAUGCAGUUCGAGAAAUUUUGGAUCAACAUGAAAGUGAAUCUGAUGGUUCAAACUCAGAAACUAGGGGAGGAAAUACACCAGUCUGAUUCCUUCCUGAUGCCAGCUUUCACAGGAGAAGAGGCGUGGUGUGUUUAACAUCAUUAUUUGAUCAAUCCUCACAUUAUUCUUCUAUAUGUGGCUCACAGAGCAAAGAGAAGCGAGGUGUUAAUAAAUAGUGUGAGGUGUGCUCUGUGAGGCGUCCUGGGGUAUGAUGGGUAACCUUGGCUUGGGUCCAAGCUCCACCUCUCUUGGGCGACCACCAAGGAAGACGAUAUUUUCUUUAUGAUAUAUUUUUUUGCAACGUUACUAACGUUCCUCAAUAUUUUGCAAACGAUGACACGUACAUAUUUCACCCAUGCAAGUAUCUUUUCUUGUUGUUUUUCUGCUAAACUUUUAGUAACCACUAAUCACUUUUUUGAAGGCUUUUGACCGUAAUCAUUUAGGGAAUAAAAUUUAAAAUAACAGAUGCAAAACCUUUAAUGAAAAUAUUUGCCAAUUUACUGCACUGUAUUUCAAUGAUGAUUUCUUAUUUACAUUUAAUUUUUUUUUUUUUUUUUUAAGUAAUUCCUGUACUUCUUUUUUACUACUUGCCUUGAGUUGUUCAGGAAGCAUUUGGGGUGCUGGGAUUAGCAUUACAUGGCCUUCUUUCAUGUGUCAGUCAAACAUUGUUAGUUACAUACUAUUGUUUGUGAUGAAGUGGAGUUAGAGAGGGCUGGUUGUUGGGGUAUGCUUUUAUGAGAGCACACUAAUAAAGGGUUGAACAUUGCGUCUUAGUUUGUGGUCUGUUUGUGACAAGGGACCGGGAGACUCCACCUCAUAAAGUCCGGUCUCACAGGAAGAUUGCAAAAACACAAAAAGGGCACAAGGACGCUGUAGACUGAGACAGGGAAACAAUCCAAACAAAGGAAGAAAAGACAGGUCACCUUCUGAAGAGAAGUCAGGGAGCAGGCAGAGGACAGAAACCCAGGCAAAGGCCAAAAACAGGCAGGAACCAGACAGGCAGGAACCAGGCAGGCUGGAACCAGGCCGGCAGGAGCCAGGCAGGCAGACUACGGGGCCUUUUGACCUGACUAGGUAAGCCAAGACCAAACGUAAGAUCAAUCUAACAAGGUGGCACUGACAGCCCAGGAUAUACAUAGGCUGAGUAGUUAACACACAAUGAGGAACAGGUGAGAAGGAAACAGGGCGGGAAACUAACACCGGCA